rnacentral:rRNA from 1 species
GUAACGUCAGGGUAUGCAGUUAUUAACUACAUACUUUUCCUCCUUACUGAAAGUGCUUUACAACCCGCAGGCCUUCUUCACACACGCGGCAUUGCUGCAUCAGGCUUGCGCCCAUUGUGCAAUAUUCCCC